rnacentral:tRNA from 5 species
GGGUCGUUAGCUCAGCUGGUAGAGCAGCGGACUUUUAAUCCGUUGGUCGCAGGUUCGAAUCCCGCACGACCUACCA